AGAAGAAUUGAAGACUUUAGAUCUUGUCAUGAUAUUGAAAACCUAGCUAAAAUGAUGGUCGAACUUCAAAGGCAUGUCAUGUUUCCUACUGUGUAUCGCCUCAUGGAGUUGGCAUUGCUACUAUCGGUAGCGACGACAACAAUUGAAAGGGCUUUCUCAUCAAUGAAAAUCAUCAAGAUUGAGUUGCGCAGCAGGAUGACAGAUGGUUCGCUUAAUGAUUUGAUGAUUUGUUAUCUUGAGCGAGAGAUCUUCAAAAGUAUUGAUCUUAAAAUCGAGGAAGAUUUUUAGAAUGAGGGCAGGGCAUUGCCAUUGCCUGGGUCUUCUAGGCGGCAUUGA
rnacentral:rRNA from 1 species